GACAGUGUGGUGUAGUGGUUUGAACUGUUGGACUAUGACUCUAGAGGCCAAGGCUCAAAUUCUUGCUUGGCCA